CCCUUAGAUGUUCUGGGCCGCACGCGCGCUACACUGAUGCAUUCAACGAGUCUAAAACCUGCUCUGAUAGGGGUGGGUAAUCUUUUGAAUGUGCAUCGUGAUUGGGAUAGAUGAUUGCAAUUUUUCAUCUUCAACGAGGAAUGCCUAGUAAACGCAAGUCAUCAGCUUGCAUUGAUCACGUCCCUGCCCUUUGUACACACCGCCCGUCGCUCCUACCGAUUGAAUGAUCCGAUGAAUAUCAUGGAUUGAGGAUGCAAGCAGGUUCGCCUGUCUUCAUCUUCGAGAAGUGAAGUAAAUCUUAUCAUUUAGAGGAAGGAGAAGUCGUAACA
rnacentral:rRNA from 1 species